rnacentral:miRNA from 1 species
GGCGCGGGCGCUGGACGCCUCG